rnacentral:rRNA from 1 species
AGCAGCCGCGGUAAUUCCAGCUCCAAUAGCGUAUAUUAAAGUUGUUGCAGUUAAAAAGCUCGUAGUUGAAUUUCGGGAUCAUUAGGUUGGUCGUGCCUCUGGUAUGUACUGAUCUCGAUGGUUCCUACUUCUUGAAGAACCGUAAUGCCAUUAAUUUGGUGUUGCGGGGAAACAGGACUGUUACUUUGAAAGAAUUAGAGUGUUUAAAGCAGGCAAUCGCUUGAAUACAUUAGCAUGGAAUAAUGAAAUAGGACGUUCGAUCUUAUUUUGUUGGUUUCUAGGAUUGACGUAAUGAUUAAUAGGGAUAGUUGGGGGCAUUAGUAUUCAAUUGUCAGAGGUGAAAUUCUUGGAUUUAUUGAAGACUAACUACUGCGAAAGCAUUUGUCAAGGAUGUUUUCAUUA